ACACGGACCAAGGAGUGCAACAUGUGCGCGAGCCGCUUGGCAAGAAAACCAGAAGGCGCAAUGAAAGUGAAGGCACGGUCGCCGUGCUGAGGUGAGAGCUGUCAUCCGGCAGCGCAUCAUCGACCGAUCCCAUCCGCUCCCUCGUGGUGCGGCGGGAUUCGAGUAAGAGUGCAUCUGUUGCGACCCGAAAGAUGGUGAACUAUGCCUGAAUAGGGUGAAGCCAGAGGAAACUCUGGUGGAGGCCCGUAGCGAUUCUGACGUGCAAAUCGAUCGUCAAAUUUGGGUAUAGGGGCGAAAGACUAAUCGAACCAUCUAGUAGCUGGUUCCCUCCGAAGUUUCCCUCAGGAUAGCUGUAGCCCGAAGCAGUUUUAUCAGGUAAAGCGAAUGAUUAGAGGUAUCGGGGAAGAAACUUCCUCGACCUAUUCUCAAACUUUAAAUAGGUAAGAAGUCCGACUUGCUCAAUUUGAAGCCGGACACAGAAUGCUGGGUUACUAGUGGGCCAUUUUUGGUAAGCAGAACUGGCGAUGCGGGAUGAACCGAACGCCGAGUUAAGGUGCCAAAGUCGACGCUCAUCAGAUCCCACAAAAGGUGUUGGUUGAUAUAGACAGCAGGACGGUGGCCAUGGAAGUCGGAAUCCGCUAAGGAGUGUGUAACAACU
rnacentral:rRNA from 1 species